GACGAACGCUGGCGGCGUGCUUAACACAUGCAAGUCGAGCGAUGAAAGCCUUAUGAACUAUUCGUAGUGAUUGGGGCCGGAUUAGCGGCGGACGGGUGAGUAACGCGUGAGCAACCUGCCUUAAACAACGGGAUAGCCUCGGGAAACCGGGAUUAAUACCGUAUGAGACCCCGCCUUCACAUGAAGAAGAGGUUAAAGAUUUAUCGGUUUAAGAUGGGCUCGCGUCUGAUUAGCUAGUUGGUGAGAUAAAAGCCCACCAAGGCAACGAUCAGUAACCGGCUUGAGAGAGUGAACGUUCACAUUGGAACUGAGACACGGUCCAAACUCCUACGGGAGGCAGCAGUGAGGAAUAUUGCACAAUGGGGGAAACCCUGAUGCAGCGACGCCGCGUGAGCGAUGAAGGAAUUCGUUUCGUAAAGCUCUGUCCAAGGGGAAGAUAAUGACAGUACCCUUGGAGGAAGCCCCGGCUAAAUACGUGCCAGCCGCCGCGGUAA
rnacentral:rRNA from 1 species